UACGGGGGGAGCAAGCGUUGUUCGGAUUUACUGGGCGUAAAGGGCGCGUAGGCGGCCACCGCAAGUCGGUUGUGAAAUCUCUGGGCUUAACCCAGAAAGGUCAACCGAUACUGCGGGGCUAGAGUGCAGAAGGGGCAACUGGAAUUCUCGGUGUAGCGGUGAAAUGCGCAGAUAUCAGGAGGAACACCGAUGGCGAAGGCAGAUCUCUGGGCCGUAACUGACGCUGAGGAGCGAAAGCGUGGGGAGCGAACAGG
rnacentral:rRNA from 1 species